AGGAUGAACGCUGGCGGUACGUCUGCACAUGCAAGUCGAGCGGCAAGGUGGCUUCGGCCACCCUAGAGCGGCGAACGGCUGAGUAACACGUAGGAACCUACCCCUUAGUUCGGGAUAACAGACCGAAAGGCCUGCUAAUACCGGAUAAUAUCGAAAGAUUGAAAGGUUUACCACUGAGGGAGGGCCUGCGGCGUAUUAGCUUGUUGGUGAGGUAAUGGCUCACCAAGGCGAUGAUGCGUAGCUGGUCUGAGAGGAUGAUCAGCCAGACUGGGACUGAGACACGGCCCAGACUCCGUACGGGAGGCGAGCGAGUUCGAGAAUCUUGCGCAAUGGACGAAGCCUGACGCAGCGACGUACCGCGU
rnacentral:rRNA from 1 species